UGGAGUCUCAAUCAUCUAUCAGCUGAUUCAGAAGACCCAGACUUCCCAGGGAGUCGCACUUCCUCAGAACAGAGGUACUAGAUAAAGCCAGCACAGGGCUGCCACACCAGAUGUCCACUGAGGAGCUCUCUGUCAGCUUUAGCAACAUGAUAGAUUGACACAGGACAGAACCCAAAGGUCACCAAGAAGGGGAGCAGAAGAGAUGGAAACUUUGGACUAAGCCACAUAUGAAUAUGUUCUUAUUCUACCUGGCUAAUUUUUUAAACUAAUUCAUAUAUAAGAAUAAUUAAACAUUUGCAUCAAAACAUU
rnacentral:lncRNA from 1 species